GGAGAUAUGGCUUAGUGGUAGAGCUCUUGCCUUGCAUGUAUAAGGCCCUGGGUUUGAUCCCCUGCUCCC
rnacentral:tRNA from 1 species